GCAUACGAAUCUCAUUUGAUGGUAUCUCUAGAUUUGCAAUUUAUACUUCAGUAACACUAAACUACUUGUAGGCCCCUAAAUAGGACUUGAUUUAUUUGCAUAUGCUGAGCCCCUCUGCCCCGCCACGACCCCGUCUGGGAGGUGUGCCCAGCGGCUCAUUGGGGAUGGGCCAUUAGGAUUCAGGUAGUGUGGCCCAUUCACGCCACGAGCAUUUAAUUCUAAGUAUAUUAAUGUAUGCUGCUUCUUUCCCCUGCUUCUCCAUGAGGGCAGGGAUUUUAUAGUCUCCAUCCAAAGUCUAGUAUGCAGGAGUUUCUAAAUAAAUGUUUAU
rnacentral:lncRNA from 1 species